UACAGAGGGUGCAAGCGUUAAUCGGAAUUACUGGGCGUAAAGCGUGCGUAGACGGUUACAUAAGUCGGGUGUGAAAGCCCCGGGCUCAACCUGGGAAUUGCAUUCGAGACUGCGUAGCUAGGGUGCGGAAGAGGGAAGCGGAAUUUCCGGUGUAGCGGUGAAAUGCGUAGAUAUCGGAAGGAACACCAGUGGCGAAAGCGGCUUCCUGGUCCAGCACCGACGUUCAGGCACGAAAGCGUGGGGAGC
rnacentral:rRNA from 1 species